rnacentral:rRNA from 1 species
UAGCGUAGGGGGGCAAGGCGUUUGUCCGGGAUUUAUUGGGACGUAAAGAGCGUGUAGGCGGCCAGAUAGGUCAGCUGUGAAAACUCGAGGCUCAACCUCGAGACGUCGGUUGAAACCAUCUGGCUAGAGUCCGGAAGAGGAGAGUGGAAUUCCCGGUGUAGUGGUGAUAUGCGUAGAUAUCGGGAGGAACACCUGUGGCGAAGGCGGCGUU